GAGAGGCAGGAGGGAGUCCCGCCCCUUGCCCUCCGUGUCGGCCUGUGGGAAACCACUCAUUGGCUGGAGCGUUUGUCAGCGUCUAGAGGCUUUGAACCCACCAGGCAAAGACCCAGUGCAUCUGUGCGUUGCACAGUCGCAUCUGUGAAGCCCUGCAUCUCUCCUGCCCUGCCUGCCAAGACUGAUGUGCAGCUUUUCUGCCAUCAUAUACCGAUAUAAUGUGUCCAAGAUUCAUACAGAAUUGCAUCUGCAUGGAACUGCAAUGAACUUCUCCAUCAUCCAUCACCAUCUUCAGCAAGGUAUGGAUCUCAGCCUGGUGGUAGAAUGUGAAGGUGAGGACCUCAUCCAGGUUUCUUCGUUCCUUGGGUGCUCUGUCUUAGCCCUAGAGGCUGCUCCUUAUAUCUGUAAUUGUAUUCUUCAGAGUUUUCUUUUCCCUUUGCUAGAUAAUCACCUCUUACCCAUAAUACAUUUUUAUAUUAAAAUUUCCUUGUUUAAAUUAUCAUGUGGUUUCUGUAUCCAGAGUAAACCCUGACCAAUACAUAGAUAUACCAAUUUGUACUUCUACCUGCAAUGUGUGAGAGUUCCAGUUCCUCCACAAUUAGUUAUUUUAAAGCCUUUGUCUACCAACCACAACAUCAGGAUGAUUUGUGUGUCUUCUUCUAUAGUCUGUUUUUUCUCUUAUCAGAAUGAUAUUUUCAUAUCUCUUCACAAGUCUACUUAUUUUUUCCAUAUGUAGACAUUGUAUGUAACAGGCAUAGAGACUCUAGACGAUAUAAUUUACCACACAAAGUGUUCCGUCUUUCUUCUGUUAAGCAGAUGGGGGUAAGGAAUGAUCACAUCAGUCCAAUGAAGGAUUGAAGUGGGUUGGGACUGGGUUUUGGUUUUGGAAUCUGUCUAUCUCCAGUUUAUCUCUGGUUUACCCCUAUGCCUGGCAUGUGGAUUUUGGGUGAGUGCCUUGCCAGGUUUCUGGAUCCACAGCCAUGAAAGACUGUGAGAUUCAGCUCUGGCUUUUCAGAGGUUCCCAGUCCAGCUUCCAGAUUCUGUCUCCAUGGAGCUUCAAGAUCUGGCCAAUGUCUUGAGAUUGCAGCCCACAAUGUUUAAAAGCCACUGGACUUUAGUUUAAAUGGAGUAAGAGCCAAGGGGAGAAAAACAAACAUUAUCAGAAGCAAACAUAUUAGCUGAGUAUGGACAACUUUUGGAGAAGUUUGGCUGUUAAUGGGAAGGAGAUUGAUUGGAAGCUGCUCUUCUGGCCCCAGAUAGCAAGAGUGAGCCCGUGUGAGGAAUGAACUGUAAGUAGCAGAGAAGAAAACCUUAUGAGGCCUACUUGCUAAUGAGGCUGGAGGAGGUGGUGGGUGUGAAGGGCUGUGUUUUAGUCCAUACCCCUCCGCUGCUAUAACACAAUAACAUAGACUGGGUAAUUUACAAGGAAAAGAGAUUUAUUUGGCUCACAGUUCUGGAGGCUGGGCAGUUGAAGAGCAUGGCAUUGGCAUCUCGUGAGGGCCCCCCAAUGGCAGAACGCAGAAGCUAGGGUGAGACAGAGAGAAAAUUGGACCAAACUGAUCUUUUCUAUCAGGAACCCAAUCCCUAUGAUACUAACCCAUUCCCACAACAAUGAUAUUAAUCAAUUCAUGAGGGCAGAGCCUUCAUGACCUAAUCACCUCUGAAAGGCCCCACCUCUAGCAAUUAAUUUCAACUUGAGUUUUGGAAGAGACAUUCAAACCAGAGCAGGGCAGC